UUUUUUUUAAGAAAAAAAUAUAGUUUUUACUCCGAAAUUAAUAUAUCUUGAGCAACUUUUAAUUUAUCAUCAUUACUUUAUUUCAGAUAUGUGCCCCGCGAACGAUUCUGAGCAUUAUCAAUAGUAGGAAAUACACAGACACCUUGCAAGACACUUGCAAUAGCGGUCGAACGUCUUGGACAACAUUGGAGUCGGAAAUAUCUGAAAGUAACUAUUUUGGAAGAGAAUUUAACCCGGCUUUUGUAUCGACGCGGGUUUCUCCAUCCUUGGCCUUUCCGUUGACCGUGCGCGUGAAAGGAUCUGCAAGCCCGAACACAUGUUGGCGUAGCCGCGAUCGUCGCCUCUUCACUGUAAUCGGACGCGGCUUAGUGACGACUCAAAUUUGAAAUAUGUUGAUCUACUGUCCGGUCGCCACUCGGUUUCACCUUUAAUAUAUCGAGAAGGUCUGCAAAGAAAGCCGGAAUUGCUACUAGGGAAGAGAAAUCAGCUGAGCAGGGUUUCUUUGAGCAUGAGGAAGGUCCCCUGUAUGGUCCUGGACUGACAGAUUAAUCUUC